AGCGUAGGCGGACAUUUAAGUCAGGGGUGAAAUCCCAGAGCUCAACUCUGGAACUGCCUUUGAUACUGGGUAUCUUGAGUAUGGAAGAGGUAAGUGGAAUUCCGAGUGUAGAGGUGAAAUUCGUAGAUAUUCGGAGGAACACCAGUGGCGAAGGCGGCUUACUGGUCCAUUGCUGACGCUGAGGUGCGAGAGCGUGGGGAGCAAACA
rnacentral:rRNA from 1 species